rnacentral:rRNA from 1 species
AGAGUUUGAUCCUGGCUCAGAUUGAACGCUGGCGGCAGGCCUAACACAUGCAAGUCGAGCGGAUGAGUGGAGCUUGCUCCAUGAUUCAGCGGCGGACGGGUGAGUAAUGCCUAGGAAUCUGCCUGGUAGUGGGGGACAACGUUUCGAAAGGAACGCUAAUACCGCAUACGUCCUACGGGAGAAAGUGGGGGAUCUUCGGACCUCACGCUAUCAGAUGAGCCUAGGUCGGAUUAGCUAGUUGGCGAGGUAAAGGCUCACCAAGGCGACGAUCCGUAACUGGUCUGAGAGGAUGAUCAGUCACACUGGAACUGAGACACGGUCCAGACUCCUACGGGAGGCAGCAGUGGGGAAUAUUGGACAAUGGGCGAAAGCCUGAUCCAGCCAUGCCGCGUGUGUGAAGAAGGUCUUCGGAUUGUAAAGCACUUUAAGUUGGGAGGAAGGGCAGUAAGUUAAUACCUUGCUGUUUUGACGUUACCGACAGAAUAAGCACCGGCUAACUUCGUGCCAGCAGCCGCGGUAAUA